AGGAGCAUUUAUAUAGGGAGGGUUGAGGGAGGCAUAAUUCACCUUGAUGGCGGUACAAUGAUUGUGGACUUCACAGGGCGUGAGGCUACUGUCCCAAUUAUUACUGAAAAGGUGAAUCGUGACUUAAGGACAGAAGAAUCCAUUGUCCUCUGUGACAUGCAAGGCAACAGACUUCUGUAGGGCACUGGAUCAACAGGGCUUGGAUUUUGGCGGCAAAAUUCCAGGAAAAUUCUUGCCCUCUCUGACAACAUGUACCAAAAACUGCAAAGAAAGAAGAGGAAAAGGAAUAUUCAGAUUGUGGCUGGAGACAAAGCAGAAAAAGUGGAGGAGCUUGUGUUAGCAGCUGAGGAGCUGCCAGCGAUAUCUCAGACGCUGAGAGAACUGUCAGAAUAUGCCGCAGCCAACAAACGCUCAACCCUGGCCUUGACUGCUGCCCAAGCCAGUUCUGUACAGGACACAUUAAAAUGUGUUAUUUGUAGAGGUAUGUAGGAUAACAGUCAAAUAUAGUUUGAUGUAUAGACCCUUUCAUGGCCUGCAUAACUAUGACUUUGCAGCCUGAGCUGGAGGAUAAAACAGGAAAGCUUCCAGUGAAGACUGUAG